CUUGACAAACAUGGAGUAUUAUUUUUAAGUUAUCGUUUGGUCAACCGGACAAUCUUUUUGCGACGAAUGUAGUAGGAGAUACGCUGAUCAAGACAAUCUUCCAGAAUCACGAGCAGCCCUUCUUGUAUUUCAAUAUGAUUUAUCUCAAGGCUUUCUCCAAAGACCAGGGUUGGCAUAGAGGUCACCUUUUAAGACGUGAUGGAUGCAGGGAUUAGAAUCUCAUUGUUGUGAGCUGCAGGUUUGAUUAAAUAAACAGGCCAAAAAUAAAAAAA